rnacentral:rRNA from 1 species
ACGUCAAGGCCCGAGAUUAUUAAUCUCGAGAUUUUCUUCACGACUGAAAGUGCUUUACAACCCUAAGGCCUUCUUCACACACGCGGCAUCGCUGGUUCAGGCUUGCGCCCAU